AAACUUUAGAGUUUGAUCCUGGCUCAGAGUGAACGCUGGCGGCGUGCCUAAUACAUGCAAGUCGAACGCGAAAGUCCUUCGGGAUGAGU
rnacentral:rRNA from 1 species